UACGAAGGGGGGCUAGCGUUGCUCGGAAUCACUGGGCGUAAAGCGCACGUAGGCGGAUCUUUUAAGUCAGGGGUGAAAUCCUGGAGCUCAACUCCAGAACUGCCCUUGAUACUGGGGAUCUUGAGUCCGGAAGAGGUGAGUGGAACUCCGAGUGUAGAGGUGAAAUUCGUAGAUAUUCGGAAGAACACCAGUGGCGAAGGCGGCUCACUGGUCCGGUACUGACGCUGAGGUGCGAAAAGCGUGGGGAGCAAACAGGG
rnacentral:rRNA from 1 species